CUAUAAUGCAGUCGUACGCUUCUUUUUCCACCGGAGCUUGCUCCACCGGAAAAAGAGGAGUGGCGAACGGGUGAGUAACACGUGGGUAACCUGCCCAUCAGAAGGGGAUAACACUUGGAAACAGGUGCUAAUACCGUAUAACAAUCGAAACCGCAUGGUUUUGAUUUGAAAGGCGCUUUCGGGUGUCGCUGAUGGAUGGACCCGCGGUGCAUUAGCUAGUUGGUGAGGUAACGGCUCACCAAGGCCACGAUGCAUAGCCGACCUGAGAGGGUGAUCGGCCACAUUGGGACUGAGACACGGCCCAAACUCCUACGGGAGGCAGCAGUAGGGAAUCUUCGGCAAUGGACGAAAGUCUGACCGAGCAACGCCGCGUGAGUGAAGAAGGUUUUCGGAUCGUAAAACUCUGUUGUUAGAGAAGAACAAGGAUGAGAGUAACUGUUCAUCCCUUGACGGUAUCUAACCAGAAAGCCACGGCUAACUACGUGCCAGCAGCCGCGGUAAUACGUAGGUGGCAAGCGUUGUCCGGAUUUAUUGGGCGUAAAGCGAGCGCAGGCGGUUUCUUAAGUCUGAUGUGAAAGCCCCCGGCUCAACCGGGGAGGGUCAUUGGAAACUGGGAGACUUGAGUGCAGAAGAGGAGAGUGGAAUUCCAUGUGUAGCGGUGAAAUGCGUAGAUAUAUGGAGGAACACCAGUGGCGAAGGCGGCUCUCUGGUCUGUAACUGACGCUGAGGCUCGAAAGCGUGGGGAGCAAACAGGAUUAGAUACCCUGGUAGUCCACGCCGUAAACGAUGAGUGCUAAGUGUUGGGAGGGUUUCCGCCCUUCAGUGCUGCAGCUAACGCAUUAAGCACUCCGCCUGGGGAGUACGACCGCAAGGUUGAAACUCAAAGGAAUUGACGGGGGCCCGCACAAGCGGUGGAGCAUGUGGUUUAAUUCGAAGCAACGCGAAGAACCUUACCAGGUCUUGACAUCCUUUGACCACUCUAGAGAUAGAGCUUCCCCUUCGGGGGCAAAGUGACAGGUGGUGCAUGGUUGUCGUCAGCUCGUGUCGUGAGAUGUUGGGUUAAGUCCCGCAACGAGCGCAACCCUUAUUGUUAGUUGCCAUCAUUCAGUUGGGCACUCUAGCA
rnacentral:rRNA from 1 species